rnacentral:rRNA from 1 species
GAUGAACGCUGGCGGCGUGCCUAAUACAUGCAAGUCGAGCGAACAGACGAGGAGCUUGCUCCUUUGACGUUAGCGGCGGACGGGUGAGUAGCACGUGGGUAACCUACCUAUAAGACUGGGAUAACUUCGGGAAACCGGAGCUAAUACCGGAUAAUAUUUCGAACCGCAUGGUUCGAUAGUGAAAGAUGGCUUUGCUAUCACUUAUAGAUGGACCUGCGCCGUAUUAGGUAGUUGGUAAGGUAACGGCUUACCAAGGCAACGAUACGUAGCCGAGCUGAGAGGGUGAUCGGCCACACUGGAACUGAGACACGGUCCAGACUCCUACGGGAGGCAGCAGUAGGGAAUCUUCCGCAAUGGGCGAAAGCCUGACGGAGCAACGCCGCGUGAGUGAUGAAGGUCUUCGGAUCGUAAAACUCUGUUAUUAGGGAAGAACAAACGUGUAAGUAACUGUGCACGUCUUGACGGUACCUAAUCAGAAAGCAACGGCUAACUACGUG